UACGUAGGGGGCGAGCGUUGUCCGGAAUCAUUGGGCGUAAAGCGCGUGUAGGCGGCCCGGUAAGUCCGCUGUGAAAGUCCAGGGCUCAACCCUGGGAUGCCGGUGGAUACUGUCGGGCUCGAGUCCGGAAGAGGCGAGUGGAAUUCCUGGUGUAGCGGUGAAAUGCGCAGUUAUCAGGAGGAACACCAAUGGCGAAGGCAGCUCGCUGGGACGUGACUGACGCUGAGACGCGAAAGCGUGGGGAGCAAACAGG
rnacentral:rRNA from 1 species